rnacentral:rRNA from 1 species
GACGAACGCUGGCGGCGUGCCUAAUACAUGCAAGUUGAGCGCUGAAGGUUGGUACUUGUACCAACUGCAUGAGCAGCGAACGGGUGAGUAACGCGUGGGGAAUCUGCCUUUGAGCGGGGGACAACAUUUGGAAACGAAUGCUAAUACCGCAUAAAAACUUUAAACACAAGUUUUAAGUUUGAAAGAUGCAAUUGCAUCACUCAAAGAUGAUCCCGCGUUGUAUUAGCUAGUUGGUGAGGUAAAGGCUCACCAAGGCGAUGAUACAUAGCCGACCUGAGAGGGUGAUCGGCCACAUUGGGACUGAGACACGGCCCAAACUCCUACGGGAGGCAGCAGUAGGGAAUCUUCGGCAAUGGACGAAAGUCUGACCGAGCAACGCCGCGUGAGUGAAGAAGGUUUUCGGAUCGUAAAACUCUGUUGGUAGAGAAGAACGUUGGUGAGAGUGGAAAGCUCAUCAAGUGACGGUAACUACCCAGAAAGGGACGGCUAACUACGUG